CAGACUGCCUACCACGGCUGACGAGCUCCACCUGCCCGGGUUUAUUGUUCGGAGUUUGCUCUCCUAGGUGAAUUGCCUACCACGGCUAACGAACCUCACCUGCCCGGGUUUGUAAUCGGAGUUUGCUCUCCUAGAUGAAUUGCUUUCGCUAACGACCUCCACCUGCCCGGGUUUGUAAUCGGAGUUUGCUCUCUUAGAUGAACUGCUUUCGCUAACGACCUCCACCUGCCCGGGUUUAUUGUUCGGAGUUUGCUCUCCUAGGUGUAUUACCUAUGACGGCUCACGAGCCCAACCUGCCCGGGUUUAUUGUUCGGAGUUUGCUCUCCUAGGUGUAUUACCUAUGACGGCUCACGAGCCCAACCUGCCCGGGUUUAUUGUUCGGAGUUUGCUCUCCUAGGUGUAUUACCUAUGACGGCUCACGAGCCCAACCUGCCCGGGUUUAUUGUUCGGAGUUUGCUCUCCUAGGUGAACUGCUCACGCUAACGACCUCCACCUGCCCGGUUUUGUAAUCGGAGUUUGCUCUCCUAGAUGAACUGCUUUCGCUAACGACCUCCACCUGCCCGGGUUUAUUGUUCGGAGUUUGCUCUCCUAGGUGUAUUACCUAUGACGGCUCACGAGCCCAACCUGCCCGGGUUUAUUGUUCGGAGUUUGCUCUCCUAGGUGUAUUACCUAUGACGGCUCACGAGCCCAACCUGCCCGGGUUUAUUGUUCGGAGUUUGCUCUCCUAGGUGUAUUACCUAUGACGGCUCACGAGCCCAACCUGCCCGGGUUUAUUGUUCGGAGUUUGCUCUCCUAGGUGAAUUGCCUACCACGGCUAACGAACCUCACCUGCCCGGGUUUGUUGUUCGGAGUUUGCUCUCCUAGGCAGAUUGCCUACCACGGCUAACGAGCCCCACCUGCCCGGCGUUGUAGCCGAAAGAUCUCCGGCACCUCCGUUGGGGUCCCGAUGGACGCCGAGGCGCCCUGCCGGGAGCCCUCCAGUCCUGCCAUGCUCGCCAGGGAGACCUUGGGCUCGCUGGCGCUCCACCGCCCCGCCGAUUCGAAUAGGGCGGAUGCAAGAACUCUUAAAACUACCAGACUGGAUUAUAAAAUUAAUCAUAAAUGCCGUGAAGGCGCCGGUCACCGCGUUUAUCGGUUCUUGGAUGAAGGACCGAUGGGCCUCGGGGACGCGCACAAGCAUCAUAAGGAAUCCUCGCCGCGGCUUCCGGCGCAGCAUCCUUUUCCCUUUUCUUUCCUACUUCC